rnacentral:rRNA from 1 species
UAUGUAGGCUGGAUUGUAAGCGUCUUGUGAAAUCCCUCGGCUUAACCGAGGAAUUGCUUGGCGAACUACAGUCUUUGAGGCAAGUAGGGGUGCACGGAACUCUUAGUGGAGCGGUGGAAUGCGUAGAUAUUAAGAGGAACGCCAAUGGAGAAAUCAGUGCACUGGGCUUGUCCUGACGCUGAGAUACGAAAGCGUGGGGAGCGAACAGGAUUAGAUACCCUGGUAGUCC